GGGGAAAAAUUAAUAAAAAUAAAAUUAAUAAAAUAAAUUUUAAAAUUAAAAAUAUAAUAAUGGGGGUUAAAGUAUUUUUAAAAGAAAAAAUUUGAAAUUUUAUAGGGGAGUAAGUAUUGUAGGGGAAAUUUGAAAUAAGUUAAAAAUUAAUUAUAAUAAAAGAAAAUUUAAUUUAUUGUAUCUUGUGUAUCAGAGUUUAUUAAAUAAAUUUUUUAAAAAAAAAAAUCUCGAAUUUAAAAGAACUAAUUAAUUAUAAAAGUUAAUGUGACAUAAUUAUUUUAAAUAAUUAAUUAGAAAUGAAAUGUUAAUCGUUUUUAAAUAUAUCUAGUUAUUUUAGAAAAAAAUUUAAUUUUAAAUUUAAAUAAUUUUAUAAUUUAAUAAUAUAAUUAUAAAAAUAUAAAUUUAAUAUUUUAAGGGAUAAGCUUUAAAUUAAAAAUUUAUAAUAAAAAUAAAUAAAAUUAAGAUUUUUAAAAUUUAUAUUGUUUAAAAAUUAUAAUUUAUUAUAAAAAAUUUUAAUAAAAAUAAAAUUUAAUAUAAAAAAAAUUUAAAUUUUUAUAAAAUAAUAAUUUUUAAUAAUAAAAAAUUAGUAAAAAUGAUAAAAUUAGUAUAAAAAUAAUAAAAAAAAAUAAAUAUAAGAUUAAAAUUAAUUAAAAGGAAUUCGGCAAAUAGGGUAUUCACUUGUUUAUCAAAAACAUGUCUUUUUGAUUAUAAUUUAAAGUCUAAUCUGCCCACUGAUAAAUAUUAAAGGGCUGCAGUAUAUUGACUGUACAAAGGUAGCAUAAUCAUUAGUUUUUUAAUUGAAAACUUGUAUGAAGGAUUUGAUGAAAUAUAAACUGUCUCUUAAUUAUUAUUAAAAAUUUAUUUUUUAGUUAAAAAGCUAAAAUAAUUUUAAAAGACGAGAAGACCCUAUAGAGUUUUAUAUUUUAUUUAUUAUAAAAAUUAUAUAAAAAUUAAAAUUAAUAGUAAGUUAAAAUUAAUAGUAAGUAAAAUAUUUUAUUGGGGUGAUAGAAAAAUUAAAGUAACUUUUUUUAAAAAUUAAUCAUUAAUAAAUGAAUAAAUGAUCCAUUAUUUAUGAUUAUAAGAAAAAAUUACCUUAGGGAUAACAGCGUAAUAUUUUUUUUUAGUUCAAAUAAAAAGAAAAGUUUGCGACCUCGAUGUUGGAUUAAGAUAAAAUUUAAAUGUAAAUGUUUAAAAUUUUGAUCUGUUCGAUCAUUAAAAUCUUACAUGAUCUGAGUUCAAACCGGUGUAAGCCAGGUUGGUUUCUAUCUUUAAAAAAUAAAAAUAUUUUAGUACGAAAGGAUCAAAUAUUAAAAAUAAUUUUAUUAGGGGAAUAUUAUUAAUUUAAAUUUAAAGUUA
rnacentral:rRNA from 1 species